rnacentral:rRNA from 1 species
CAGCCGCCGCGGUAAAACGGAGGGUGCAAGCGUUAAUCGGAAUUACUGGGCGUAAAGCGCACGCAGGCGGUCUGUCAAGUCAGAUGUGAAAUCCCCGGGCUUAACCUGGGAACUGCAUUUGAAACUGGCAGGCUAGAGUCUUGUAGAGGGGGGUAGAAUUCCAGGUGUAGCGGUGAAAUGCGUAGAGAUCUGGAGGAAUACCGGUGGCGAAGGCGGCCCCCUGGACAAAGACUGACGCUCAGGUGCGAAAGCGUGGGGAGCAAACAGGAUUAGAUACCCGCGUAGUCCCUGUCUCUUAUAC